GUAUGGUGCAAGCGUUAUCCGGAUUUACUGGGUGUAAAGGGAGCGCAGGCGGUGCGGCAAGUCUGAUGUGAAAGCCCGGGGCUCAACCCCGGUACUGCAUUGGAAACUGUCGUACUAGAGUGUCGGAGGGGUAAGCGGAAUUCCUAGUGUAGCGGUGAAAUGCGUAGAUAUUAGGAGGAACACCAGUGGCGAAGGCGGCUUACUGGACGAUAACUGACGCUGAAGCUCGAAAGUGCGGGUAUCGAACAGGAUUAGAUACCCUGGUAGUCCGCACGGUAAACGAUGGAUGCCCGCUGUUGGUCUGAACAGGUCAGCGGCCAAGCGAAAGCAUUAAGCAUCCCACCUGGGGAGU
rnacentral:rRNA from 1 species